rnacentral:lncRNA from 1 species
CAGUUCUCGUGUUCCUUGAAGAACGUUUCUGUGCAGCCAAAGGAUCCAGAGCCCAGGGGACGCAGUCUUAGUUUGGGGGCCUGUGAAGCGGGUGACCACCUUGGGUCUUUGUCUCAGGGCCACCCUUCCUGGUGGCUGUUCCUGGCCGCCCCCUGGUGGCUGGGCUCAGCCUUGGCUGCCUUCCCUGCCUCAGGUGCCCUGCCAGCUCCUCAGAGGGGAGAGUCAGAGGAGCCGGAGAGAAUCACUGAAUCCGGUGUUGAGGCAUCCCUUGCCACAGCCUUUUUGCCCCUUUCUCAAGGCUGACAAAGAGGACGUCUGCGUCUGAGCAGCUCCAGGGGUGCCUUUUGGAGGCUUUCUUCUGCAGGGAUCCCCCCUAGAGCUCUGAUGAGGGGCAAGUGUGCGCAUGCCCGGGAAGGCCCCUCAAACUGUCAGACGUCCUGUGCGGGAUGUAGGACACUGUGCUGUCCUUCUCGGGGUCCUCGGGGGUCUCCUCGAGUUUUAGAGUCUUAGUCUUAGAGGUGUGGGGGCUGCUGUAGGCUGAAAGGGGUGGUGUUUCAGUCUCCACAGCUGCUGAGGGAGCUGAGGAGAGGAUGCCUUCGAGAAUAGGCAGGCCCUGUGUGUGUGUGUGUGUGUGUGUGUGUGUGUGUGUUUCGCACUUCUAUUAUUCUAUUCCCUGAGGUCACAGGGAAAAAUUACUGUGCGUCCCUAGCCAGGACCUGCGUCUGUGUACCCGUGUCUGGAAAUGGUAGAGGCAGGCACAUGAUGCUUACUGGCAGGCUCUCGUCUGCGUGUCCCUCCCCUAUUUCCUCAUUAUACCUCACAACCCCAUGAGGUGUUACCAGUUUCUCUCCUUUUCCAAUGAGGAAACUCUGGCCCAGGGAGUUCGUGACUUUCCCAAGGCCUCCCAGCAAACAAGUGGUGGAGCUGGGAUUUGAACCCUGUCUCCCCAGGCCCAGCGAGCCUGCUCUUUACCGCCUCUCUGUUCUCCACCAUCCUGGAAAGAAAUCCAUGCAUCACAAAAUAAUACUUACCUCAUUCCAUGGGAUGCUUUCGGAUAUGUGCCAUUUCUCUGUUAUCCCCAACUGCUGGUCGCAAUCCCCCACAUUGAUGUCUUCACUCUAAUAGGUCUCAAGCUGCCUUCUGGGAAAUCCUGUGAUGUCCUGCUUCCAAACCAGCUUUUAGCCCCUCCCUUCAUCCCUCCCCAUCGCCACUCUGCCACUUCAGGUUCCUCAUCAUUUCUGUUUUUUUUCUUUUUGGCCUCACCACUUCUUAGCUGGACAGCUCCAAUGACCUUGUUUCCCUCUCCAUCCAUUCUUUAUACUGACAUCAAAGUACUUUGGAAAGUACAUUUCUUUUUCUCUAUCUCUUUGUCUUUAUUUAUUUAUUUAUUUAUUUUUCUUUUUGUCUUUUCUAGGACCACUUCCAAAUAAUAUGGAGGUUCUCAGGCUAGGGGUCUAAUCAGAGCUGUAGCCACUGGCCUACGCCAGCGCCACAUCAAUGAGGGAUCUGAGCCAAAUCUGUGACCUUCACCACAGCUCACAGCAAUGCCAGAUCCUUAACCCACCGAGUAAGGGCAGGGAUCGAACCCACAACCUCAUGGUUCUUAGUCGGUUUUGUUAACAACUGUGCCACAAAGGGAACUCCUCUCUUUGUCUUUUUAGGGCCGAACCUGUGGCAUAGGUAGUUCCCAGGCUAGGGCUUGAAUCUGAGUUGUAGCUGCCAGCUUGGACCACAGCCACAGCAAUGCAGGAUCCAAGCUGCUUCUGCGACCUCCACGGCAGCUCACAGCAACAGAUGCUUAACCCACUGAGUGAGGCCAGGGAUCAAACCCGCAUCCUCACAAUUCUAGUCAGAUUCAUCACCACUGAGCCAAAAUGUGAACUCUUGAAAAGUACAUUUCUAACCAUAUUGUUCCCCUGAUUGAAAAUCCUUAAGUCCCACCUUUGCUCUUCGGGGCCUAGUACUUGGUUCAUGAAGAUGAUGGCUGAAGGUGUGAGUAAUAGAUAACUGUGUAAAGAUUUCUAUGUGUGUUUUUUCAGGAUGUGGAUCUUCUACCAAGUACAUCUUAGAAAGUCAAUGUUCCAGCGAUCAUCACGAGGAAGCUGCGCAGCAUCAAGUAAGUGUGGCUUUGGCCGGAAGCCAGAGCCCCGUGGCAUCAGAACCAGCUCCUGGCAGACAGCAGGGCUGACUGCGGGAGACCUCAUGUAGGCACUGCCUUCCUUUCCUGGCCUCCUCCCUCUCUCCCUGGCCCUGGACCCUCAUUGCAGUGUGUCCUGAAGUCUUCAAAAUGAAAUAGACCCUCUCCUGGGCUUUCUGUCCAAGAAUGUAAUUUCUCUAUCAUUGAAACAAAUGACCUGUCAUAGUUUAGUGAUCUGAAUUUUUAUGUGUAUUUGGCUUACGUCUUCACCCCCAGGGUACAGAAAGGUGGCUGGGUCAGACUAGAUGUGUUGUAAAUAUUUUUGAACGAAUCCGUGGGGGGCUGAGGUGAAUCAGUGAUCAUAUCUGAGAUAUUGGGGGGGGGUUUGCAUUCUGAGUCUAGUCUUCAAGGAGUUUGCCAAGCUCUAAGUGGUGAGGUUGCUGCUCUUUGCCCAGAGCUUUCCUUUGCCGAGUCCCAUGGUAUGUGCCUCCUUUGCAUUCUCACUCAGUCCUCGGAGGCCACUCCUGGAUGAAGUACUGUCAUUAGCCCCUUUUGACAGAUGAGAAAACUGAGGCUCAAAGAAGUGCAGUGAACUUGCCUCAGGUCACCUGGCUAGAAAGGGGGUGGAGGAGAGAUUUAAACCCUGACCUCCAGACCAAGGUUAAGGUUUCCUAAUGGUUUUAACCCACAGUCCCUCCCUCCUUUUUAUAUUAGUCAUGUCAGUCAAGUCCUAAUUCUUAUAUUUCACAAUUUUUUUAAAAAUUUAUUUAUUUAUUUUUCUACUGUACAGCAUGGGGGCCAAGAUACACUUACAUGAAUACGUUUUCUUUUCCCCACCCUUCGUUCUGUUACAGUAUAAGUAUCUAGACAUAGUUCUCAAUGCUACUCAGCAGGAUCUCAUUGUAAGUCCAUUCCAAGUUGUAUCUGAUAUCCCCAAGCUCCCGAUUCCUCCCACUCCCUCCCUCUCCCCCUGGGUGGCCACAAGUCUAUUCUCCAGGUCCAUGAUUUUCUUUUCUGUGGAAAUGUUCAUUUGUGCUGUAUAUUAGAUUCCAGUUAUAAGUGAAAUCAUAGGGUAUUUGUCUUCGUCUUUCUGACUUAUUUCACUCAGUAUGAGUCUCUAGUUCCACCCAUGUUGCUAUAAAUGGUAUUAUGUUGUUCUUUUUUAUGGCUGAGUAGUAUUCCAUUGUGUAUAUAUAUAUCACAUCUUCCUAAUCCAAUCAUCUGUUGAUGGACAUUGGGUUGUUUCCAUGUCUUGGCUACUGUGACUAGUGCUGCAAUGAACAUGCGGGUGCAUGUGUCUCUUUAAGUAGAGUUUUGUCUGGAUAUAUGCCCAAGAGUGGGAUUGCGGGGUCAUAUGGCGCGGGGAGCCGAGAAAAUGCAAGGACUCAAAACAAGGACCUUGCCUGAUGGCAGAAAAACCUGAAGGCAGGUUCUUAACCAAGAAAGGGAGCUCACCUGAAUGGUACAAGCCGAAAGCGGGCUUCUGGUCAGGAAAAAAGCUCACCUGAACGGUACAUGCCGAAGGUGGGCCUCUGGUCAGGAUAAAAGCCUGCCUGCACGGUGCAAGCCGAGCGCAGGCCUCAGGUUACUCAGCUUCACUUUGAUGUUGAUGGGAAGAUUUGGGGCUUUCCUGGGAAAACAGUUUCCAUGUUUGCAUUGGAGAACAUGGAUUGUUUCUCGAGUAACCUAGUCUUUCCUGCUGUUUAUUUGCUAUUCAGUUUUUCUCAGUCUUUCCUGAUUAUUUACUUAUUAUUUUAUUUCCCAUUCUUAUUGUCCUGUGGUGAUUUGUAACAAUAGUAUAAUAAAAAUUUCAUCCUGAAGGACUUUUCCCCUAUUUAAUCCAACUUAGUUUAAAACAUAGUGUUUAUCUAUUAACUAGUUAUAUAGUAACUUUAGAGUUAGGAUUUUAAUGAGGUCCAUAGAAGUUAGCCAUAUCUUAUCCAAAAAACCUAGCUGUGAGUUUUGUCUUUGAUUUUAAAAGCUUUUAGUGAUAGCUAGUUUAAUUAAGUUGGUUUAUAUUUACUCACACUGUCUCCCUGCCAUAACGCUUUGAAGAUAAACACCAGUCUACAAACAAAGUUUGUAAAUGCUAAAUUCUUGUGUUUUAUGGCCUCUUCAAAGUACUCACUAAGUUUACUUAAGUCGAGAUCUUAAAACAGGAUGCACAGCUGCUAUACCAUGUGAUAGUAACCAAUAUACUUUAACACUGUAAUGUAAUCUGUAGUGAAAAACUAUCUAUAUAAUCAACCACUGUUGCCAAUAAAGUUUGAGUAGUCCAGCGCCCUGAAAGAAGAGACAAAGAGGCUGUCUCCGAU